CCUACGGGGGGCAGCAGUGGGGAAUAUUGGACAAUGGGGGGAACCCUGAUCCAGCCAUGCCUCGUGUGUGAAGAAGGCCCGCGGGUUGUAAAGCACUUUCAGUGAGGAAGAACGCCUGGUGGUUAAUACCCAUCAGGAAAGACAUCACUCACAGAAGAAGCACCGGCUAACUCCGUGCCAGCAGCCGCGGUAAUAUGGAGGGUGCGAGCGUUAAUCGGAAUUACUGGGCGUAAAGCGCGCGUAGGUGGCUUGAUAAGCCGGUUGUGAAAGCCCCGGGCUCAACCUGGGAACGGCAUCCGGAACUGUCAAGCUAGAGUGCAGGAGAGGGAGGUAGAAUUCCCGGUGUAGCGGUGAAAUGCGUAGAGAUCGGGAGGAAUACCAGUGGCGAAGGCGGCCUUCUGGACUGACACUGACACUGAGGUGCGAAAGCGUGGGUAGCAAACAGGAUUAGAUACCCCGGUAGUC
rnacentral:rRNA from 1 species